GCGGCCGAUCAGGCUGUUGGUGAGGUAAUGGCCCACCAAACCUAUAACCGGUACGGGCUCUGAGAGGAGAAGCCCGGAGAUGGGCACUGAGACAAGGGCCCAGGCCCUAUGGGGCGCAGCAGGCGCGAAAACUCUGCAAUGGGCGAAAGCCUGACAGGGUUACUCUGAGUGAUUUCCGCUAAGGAGAUCUUUUGGCAGCUCUAAAAAUGGUGCAGAAUAAGGGGUGGGCUAGUCUGGUGUCAGCCGCCGCGGUAAUACCAGCACCCCGAGUGGUCGGGACGAUUAUUGGGCCUAAAGCAUCCGUAGCCGGUUGUGCAAGUCCUCCGUUAAAUCCAGCCGCUCAACGGAUGGGCUGCGGAGGAUACUACAGAACUAGGAGGCGGGAGAGGCAAGCGGUACUUAGUGGGUAGGGGUAAAAUCCUUUGAUCCAUUGAAGA
rnacentral:rRNA from 1 species